GCGAGGAGAUUCAUCACGCACUCAUGCCAAGACAAAUAUAAAGAUGAAAAGUCCACUGCUGUCGCCCGGUCAUGAACUCUCCCAGCUUGCUCUGGCACGUAGCCCUGUUACGUCACCUGUGCACAUGAACACGCAGCGUCUGAGCGAGGUGUCACCAGUGGAAGUAGUGUCGCCCCAGGGGACCCGAGUGGGCUACAGCUUCGACAGCGGCGAGUCGGAGCCCUACGCAGGUCAAGAAAGCCGUCCCUGGUGGCAGCUCCUUGUGGGCGCUGUGCUCGAUAGUGUUCAUCACGGUGCUCAUCCCAACAGUCGUGUUCCUAAUGUCCAAAACGCGCACGG
rnacentral:lncRNA from 1 species